rnacentral:lncRNA from 1 species
CCACUCCAUCUGAAGAUUCAUGUACAGCAAAUACAAAAGAAACAGAGAGGAUGUGAGUCCAGGAGGGCACCAAGGAUGUGAAUAUUUCACAAUAAGCUAAAGCCAGAGGCAGAUCCCUUUGGCAGAACUGCUCAAGAGCUAGCAGCAACCUUUGUGCAAGGCCUUCUGUGGGACUGCUUCAGGGAGCAAGCACACUUCAAUUACUUCAGUGCCAGGACGGGCAGUUACAUCACUGGGAGCAAUUCUGCAGCUGUUCCACAGACAGAAGAGGUUUGGAAAUCACUGAGAGGCAGAUGUUGGCACCAGGAGUGGAAAUUCCCAUUCUGUGUUGGGCACCACCAUCAGAGACAUCCUGGAGGAGAACAGACACUGGAGAACUGGGAUGAGGAUGUCCUUGUGUUAUGAAACCAGUCAAGAGGUAAUGGCACAGAGGGCGGGCAAAUGAUUGCC